rnacentral:rRNA from 1 species
AGUGAACGCUGGCGGUAGGCCUAACACAUGCAAGUCGAACGGCAGCACAGUAAGAGCUUGCUCUUACGGGUGGCGAGUGGCGGACGGGUGAGGAAUACAUCGGAAUCUACUUUUUCGUGGGGGAUAACGUAGGGAAACUUACGCUAAUACCGCAUACGACCUACGGGUGAAAGCAGGGGAUCUUCGGACCUUGCGCGAUUGAAUGAGCCGAUGUCGGGUUAGCUAGUUGGAGGGGUAAAGGCCCAACAAGUCGACGAUCCGUAGCUGGUCUGAGAGGAUGAUCAGCCACACUGAGACUGAGACACGGUCCAGACGCCUACGGGGGACAGCAAUGGGGAAUAUUGGACAAUGGGGGGAAACGUGAUCCAGCCAUACCGCGUGGGUGAGAAAGGUCUUCGGGUUGUAAAACCCUUUUGUAGGGAAAGAAAAGCAGCAGGUUAAUACCCCGCUGUUCUGACGGUACCCAAGGAAAAAGCACCGGCUAACUUCGUG